GGAGUCUGGACCGUGUCUCAGUUCCAAUGUGACCGUUCAUCCUCUCAGACCGGUUACCGAUCGUCGGCUUUGUAAGCUCUUACCUUACCAACUACCUAAUCGGACGCAGGCUCCUCGCAAAGCGAUAAAUCUUUAGUAAGUUACUCAUGCGAAUUACUUACAACAUUCGGUAUUAGCAGUCCUUUCGAACUGUUGUCCCCAUCUUUGCGGCAGAUUACCUACGCGUUACUCACCCGUUUGCCACUAAACUAAAAGUUCCGUUCGACUUGCAUGUGUUAAGCACGCCGCCAGCGUUCGUC
rnacentral:rRNA from 1 species